GAUCAUGGCUCAGGGUGAACGCUGGCGGCGUGCCUAACACAUGCAAGUCGAACGAGGCAAAUGAGAUGAAGUUUUCGGAUGGAUUCUUAUUUACCGAGUGGCGGACGGGUGAGUAACGCGUGGGUAACCUGCCUCAUACAGGGGGAUAACGAUUGGAAACGAUUGCUAAUACCGCAUAAGCGCACAGUACCACAUGGUGCAGUGUGAAAAACUCCGGUGGUAUGAGAUGGACCCGCGU
rnacentral:rRNA from 1 species